rnacentral:rRNA from 2 species
GACGUAGGGGGCCAGCGUUGCUCGGAAUUACUGGGCGUAAAGGGUUCGUAGGCGGUGUGGCAAGUCGGAAGUGAAAUCUCCAGGCUCAACUUGGAGGCUGCUCCCGAAACUGCCGCGCUAGAGUGCGAGAGAGGCCAGUGGAAUUGCAGGUGUAGCGGUGAAAUGCGUAGAUAUCUGCAGGAACACCCGUGGCGAAGGCGGCUGGCUGGAUCGCAACUGACGCUGAGGAACGAAAGCUAGGGGAGCAAACAGG